rnacentral:rRNA from 1 species
GUAAAAUAUUUAUAGGUUACAGAUGGGCAUGCGUGACAUUAGUUAGUUGGUGAGGUAACGGCUCACCAAGACUGCGAUGUCUAGGGGUUCUGAGAGGAAGGUCCCCCACACUGGAACUGAGACACGGUCCAGACUCCUACGGGAGGCAGCAGUGAGGAAUAUUGGUCAAUGGACGCAAGUCUGAACCAGCCAUGUCGCGUGCAGGAUGACUGCCCUAUGGGUUGUAAACUGCUUUUAUAUUGGAAGAAUUGCGCUUACGAGUUAAGCGUUUGACGGUACAUUAUGAAUAAGGAUCGGCUAACUCCGUGCCAGCAGCCGCGGUAAUACGGAGGAUCCGAGCGUUAUCCGGAUUUAUUGGGUUUAAAGGGUGCGUAGGCGGAAAUGUAAGUCAGUGGUGAAAUCCUGCAGCUUAACUGUAGAAUAGCCGUUGAAACUGUGUUUCUUGAGUACAUUUGAGGUAGGCGGAAUGUGGUGUGUAGCGGUGAAAUGCAUAGAUAUACCACAGAACACCGAUUGCGAAGGCAGCUUACUAAACUGUCACUGACGCUGAUGCACGAAAGCGUGGGUAUCAAACAGGAUUAGAUACCCUGGUAGUCCACGCUGUAAACGAUGAUUACUGGUUGUUUGCGAUACACUGCAAGUGACUGAGCGAAAGCAUUAAGUAAUCCACCUGGGGAGUACGUCGGCAACGAUGAAACUCAAAGGAAUUGACGGGGGCCCGCACAAGCGGAGGAACAUGUGGUUUAAUUCGAUGAUACGCGAGGAACCUUACCUGGGUUUAAAUGGGGAGUGACAGGCUUGGAAACAGGCUCUUCUUCGGACACUCUUCAAGGUGCUGCAUGGUUGUCGUCAGCUCGUGCCGUGAGGUGUCGGGUUAAGUCCCAUAACGAGCGCAACCCCUAUCGAUAGUUACCAGCACGUUACGGGGGGACUCUAUCGAGACUGCCGGUGUAAACCGUGAGGAGGGUGGGGAUGACGUCAAAUCAGCACGGCCCUUACAUCCAGGGCUACACACGUGUUACAAUGGCCGGUACAAAGGGCAGCUACACAGCGAUGUGAUGCUAAUCUCCAAAUCCGGUCUCAGUUCGGAUCGAAGUCUGCAACCCGACUUCGUGAAGCUGGAUUCGCUAGUAAUCGCGCAUCAGCCAUGGCGCGGUGAAUACGUUCCCGGGCCUUGCACACACCGCCCGUCAAG